ACGGGAGGCAGCAGUUAGGAAUAUUGGACAAUGGGGGCAACCCUGAUCCAGCCAUGCCGCGUGAGUGUUAAGGCCUUCGGGUUGUAAAGCUCUUUUGUAUGGGAAAAUGAUGAUGGUACCAUAAGAAUAAGCACCGGCUAACUUCGUGCCAGCAGCCGCGGUAAUACGUAGGGAGCAAGCGUUAUCCGGAAUUACUGGGUGUAAAGGGAGUGUAGGCGGGACUGUAAGUCAGAUGUGAAAUAUGCCGGCUCAACUGGCAGACUGCAUUUGAAACUGCGGUUCUUGAGUGAAGUAGAGGUAAGCGGAAUUCCUAGUGUAGCGGUGAAAUGCGUAGAUAUUAGGAGGAACAUCAGUGGCGAAGGCGGCUUACUGGGCUUUAACUGACGCUGAGGCUCGAAAGCGUGGGGAGCAAACAGGAUUAGAUACCCUGGUA
rnacentral:rRNA from 1 species